AUGUUAGCAGAAGACAAGUGGGGCUGGCAGAGCAGUUUACACUGGAGAGGGAAACAUGUGUGCGGGGGAGCCAUCGUCACCCCACGUUGGAUCAUUACUGCAGCCCACUGCUUCAUCCAGUACAACAUGUUGCAAGAGUCAGAGUGGCAGGUGGUUGUGGACACGCUCAGUUUGACGGACACAUCAGUGGGCCAACGCUACAGAGCACUGCAGAUCCUCUAUCACCCCAGCUUCUCCGUAAACAACAACGACUAUGACCUGGGGCUACUGCGCACCGUGGCUGACAUAGACAUGGGAGGUGAGAGGAAUUAAUGAUGAAAGUUGUUCAGCGGAGGUUAUAUGGCUAUAUGUACGGAUGCUCAUAUUCUGAUUUAACCUGUUCCUGUUUGGCAUUUGUCAUGUUCAUGGUUUCUCUCAAGGAUGAAAUCUAACUGACAACUUAACACUAUGUCAACACAAAAAUAAUAUCAGUUGGUAGAGCAUGGUGCUUGCAAAACUAAGAUGGUGGGUUCGAUUCUUUAUAUUAAAUGUGAAAUAAGUAGAAUGUGAAAAUACUACCUUACAGAAUCGCUUUUGAUUUAACCACUGAUUUAUUGGGUACAUGUGAGCUUAUCGUCAGUGCAGUACAGUCAAUGUGCUGCACAAAACGGAGAAAACUGUCAGAAACUGAGUGAAAUGGGGAGGUACUAUUUGAACUUAUUUAAUAAGGAACCAGUUUUCCAUUGCAAGAAGUUUUGCUACGGUGUGUCCUAAUGAAAAUGACCCUGGUGUUGGGUUAUGUGUUGCUUUAGGUGGGGUUCGACCAGUGUGUAUGCCCAGUCCUAGAGAGUCCUUCCUUCCUGGUGCCCCCUGUUGGGUCACUGGCUGGGGCUUCACUAAAGAAGGGGGUGAGUCACGUUCACAAAUAUUCCCACACCACUUCCUUAUAAUUUUCGAUUCAACUGAUUGGCUGAUCACUCUAAUCAUUCUGCCUUACUUGUCUUCCAUUUUUACCACUUUUUCCACAAUCACAUCAAAUUUCCUGACAUUUGUCGCAGAAUGAAGACAAUGUUCCCUUCCAUCCCAUAAUCUCAUUCAGUAACCUGACAAUUGUCUCUUCAUUCU
rnacentral:lncRNA from 1 species